rnacentral:rRNA from 1 species
UACGUAGGGUGCGAGCGUUAAUCGGAAUUACUGGGCGUAAAGUGUGCGUAGGCGGCAGAGCAAGUCGAGUGUGAAAGCCCCGGGCUUAACUUGGGAAUUGCGCUCGAAACUACUUUGCUGGAGUGUGGCAGAGGAAGGUGGAAUUCCACGUGUAGCGGUGAAAUGCGUAGAGAUGUGGAGGAACACCAAUGGCGAAGGCAGCCUUCUGGGCCAACACUGACGCUCAUGCACGAAAGCGUGGGGAGCAAACAGG